rnacentral:rRNA from 1 species
UACGUAGGGGGCAAGCGUUGUCCGGAGUUACUGGGCGUAAAGGGCGUGCAGGCGGUUGGGUAAGUUUGGAGUGACAGUGCUCGGCUUAACUGAGCAAGGCCUCUGAAAACUGUUCAACUUGAGGGCCAGAGAGGGACAUAGAAUCCGGGUGGAGUGGUGAAAUGCGUAGAUAUCCGGAGGAAUACCAAAGGCGAAGGCAGUGUCCUGGCUGGCAUCUGACGCUGAGGCGCGAAAGCUAGGGGAGCGAACAGG